rnacentral:rRNA from 1 species
UACGAGAGGCCCAAACGUUAUUCGGAAUUACUGGGCUUAAAGAGUUCGUAGGCGGCAUGAAAAGUAGGGUGUGAAAGCCCUCGGCUCAACCGAGGAAUUGCGCUCUAAACUGUCGUGCUCGAGGAACCUAGAGGUGAGCAGAACAGAUGGUGGAGCGGUGAAAUGCGUAGAUAUCAUUUGGAACGCCAAUGGUGAAAACAGGUAGCUGGGGCUGUGCUGACACUGAGACACGAAAGCCAGGGGAGCGAACGGG